CGCGUAGGCGGUGCUUUAAGUGAGAUGUGCAAUCCCCGGGCUUAACCUGGGAACUGCAUCUCAGACUGGAGCGCUAGAGGUACUGGAGAGGGUGGUAGAAUUCCACGUGUAGCGGUGAAAUGCGUAGAGAUGUGGAGGAAUACCAGUGGCGAAGGCGGCCACCUGGACAGUAACUGACGCUGAGGCGCGAAAGUGUGGGUAGCAAACAGGGUUAGAUACCCUGGUAGUCCACGCUGUAAACGAUGAACACUUGGUGUGGCGGGAGUUGACCCCUGCCGUGCCGUAGCUAACGCGCUAAGUGUUCCGCCUGGGGAGUACGGUCGCAAGGCUGAA
rnacentral:rRNA from 1 species